GAGGGUCGCCUCGCCUCGCCUAGCACCUCGCCUGGCGCCUCAAAGCGCCUUUAAUAACACUGGUGUGAUGUUUCCCUGGAUUUACUUUAUCUCUCAUCUGUGAAUGGAGAUGGAAACUACUGCCUUUGAAGAAGUGGAUUACGUAAUGUAGAUUUGAGUUGGUUAAUUGGAAGUAAGGGACUAUGUAUUGAUCUAGCUAACAGUUUGGAAUGGGACUCCAAUGGUAUUCUGUGAAGAUGCUUUGAGGUUUGGGAUAAGGGAAUAAGCUUAGCCAUUCUUUGGUGCAUUGUUAACUUUUUAUUCAUUCUUAUAAUUACUAUACUUUAUAUGAGAUUGUCUUGUAAUUUUUAUUUAGAGAUUGAUUUUGUCUUUUAUUUCAGGGCAUGUUCACAGUUUGGGCAGUUUUAUUAAAAGGCAAGCUUGCCUUUCUAAAUUUUAUGGUGACAAGGAAUUUGUGGUUGAUCCUUAAUUUCAUGUUAGUUGUUGUAUCAUUUCUUGACUGAAAGUUAAAAUUGUCUGCCUAAUGCAGUUGUUUCGUACUCUGAAAAAGAAGAUAAUUAUACUCUGUGCUUUAUAUGGCUCUGUUGCAGUGCAUGAAUUUCAGAAGUUGUGAAGCAUCAAUUGGAAGGAAGUAAUAGAUAAUGGGUGCAAACAUAUUUUUGUGAAUGGCUGAUUGGACACUGCUUUUAGCAAUUAACUUAUUACAAUUUGCUGUCUCACAUAUGGGAAAUGUCCAGUUCAAUUGCAGUACCUGAUAUUUGUGCAAUUUGCUGUCACUUUUACUUGAUUGGGUGGAUAUGUUUUUCUUAUGUAUAUUCUAUCAUUAAUUUAUUUAUUUGACUUGAUGUUCCUGACCAUUCUUUCAUGCUUUCAAUCUUCUCAGGAAGCUCAUUUAUUAAUAAUUUGCUUACGUUUGUAACUGCAGUGGUAUGCUUG
rnacentral:misc_RNA from 1 species